rnacentral:rRNA from 1 species
GACGAACGCUGGCGGCGUGCUUAACACAUGCAAGUCGAACGGAAAGGCCCUGCUUGCAGGGUUCUCGAGUGGCGAACGGGUGAGUAACACGUGGGUGAUCUGCCCUGCACUUCGGGAUAAGCCUGGUAAACUGGGUCUAAUACCGGAUAGGAGCCAUUUUUAGUGUGAUGGUUGGAAAGUUUUUUCGGUGUAGGAUGAGCUCGCGGCCUAUCAGCUUGUUGGUGGGGUAAUGGCCUACCAAGGCGGCGACGGGUAGCCGGCCUGAGAGGGUGGACGGCCACAUUGGGACUGAGAUACGGCCCAGACUCCUACGGGAGGCAGCAGGGGGGAAGAUUGCACAAUGGGCGCAAGCCUGAUGCAGCGACGCCGCGUGGGGGAUGACGGCCUUCGGGUUGUAAACUCCUUUCGCUAGGGACGAAGCUUUUUGUGACGGUACCUAGAUAAGAAGCACCGGCUAACUACGUG